rnacentral:rRNA from 1 species
GAUGAACGCUGGCGGCGUGCCUAAUACAUGCAAGUCGAGCGAACAGAUGAGGAUCUUGCUCCUCUGACGUUAGCGGCGGACGGGUGAGUAACACGUGUAUAACCUACCUAUAAGACUGGGAUAACUUCGGGAAACCGGAGCUAAUACCGGAUAAUAUAUUGAACCGCAUGGUUCAAUAGUGAAAGACGGCUUUGCUGUCACUUAUAGAUGGAUCCGCGCCGCAUUAGCUAGUUGGUAAGGUAACGGCUUACCAAGGCAACUAUGCGUAGACGACCUGACAGGGUGAUCGGCCACACUGGAACUGGGCCACGGUCCAGACUCCUAAGGGAGGCAGCAGUAGGGAAUCUUCCGCAAUGGGCGAAAGCCUGACGGAGCAACGCCGCGUGAGUGAUGAAGGUCUUCGGAUCGUAAAACUCUGUUAUUAGGGAAGAACAAAUGUGUAAGUAACUAUGCACGUCUUGACGGUAACUAAUCAGAAAGCCACGGCUAACUACGUG